rnacentral:lncRNA from 1 species
GCCCUUGUGUUUCGCUGAGGUAUGUGCAUUAAUCUUGACAUCGUUGUCAGCCGAAACUGUGUCCCUUACAUUCUACUCCCUCCGUUCCUAAAUAUUUGUCUUUCUAGAGAUUUCAAGAAGUGACUACAUACAGAGCAAAAUGAGUGAGUCCACGCUCUAAAAUAUGUAUAUAUACAUCUGUAUGUAGUAGUCCGUUUGAAAACUCUAAAAAGACAAAUAUUUAGGAACGGAGGGGGUAAUAUUCUAUACCUGAUACUUACGUUACCAAUUCUAUACCUGAUACUUACAUUACCAAUUCUUUUGAGCUUUGGUCUGCACAUCCUUUGUAUCAAUAUCGUUGUGUUCCCAAGUUGUGACUCUUACACAAGUACUUACGGCAGUUUUCAACCCUUGUUGACUGUUUCAUUGUUUGUUUGCAUAACUUUCCUGUUCUUACUGAGCUAGAGAUUACAUGCUAGAAUCUGCAUGCAGAAUAGAGAAUACAUCCCUUUGCUCUAUUCUUUUCUGCUAUGUUUCACUUCCAGUAGGUUGUGUGUUAACUAUUGUUUAUAUAUCACACAUCUUGCAAAUAUAAGUGUAGCAUUUAUUCAUUUCAUAUCCAGCAUCUGCCAGGUAACUUUUACCUGAAUAUUGACAUAAGUGCCUCGUAUUGCUACUACUAUUUUUCCUUUUUUUUAGUAUUUUAGUGCAUCAACUUUGUUCCCUAGAUGAUUGAUUUGAGACUUUCUACAGUUAGCAUAAUCCCUUAUUUUGUUUGUCUCACUAUCCUAAAAUAUGUCAGUGUUAUAGCACGAAAUUAACACUUGUUUGGUUGUGGGCUUGAAAUAAACAAUGGCGCUUCUUUUUGCAGGUUAUUUGUUUGACAUGCAUGACCGAUACCCAGUCAAAUUGGACCUCCAGUUCCUUCCUGGUCCGUCCAAGGUAAACCGAUGGCUCGUGCUAGGCGAUUAAUCUUGUGGGUCUCAGUUUCUUAUAUAUCAAUCUGAAACCAUCAAUUUGCAAAUUCUUCCUUGCUUAUGUUACCCCAUGGGUGAGUAUGGACAACUUGAUUAAUUGUCUCCCAGGCUUUACCUGAUACACUUUGAUGAGCUUACAUUAGAACUGGAAUUGAUUUUUUAAAGUUAAAUGUUGUAUGAGAUGCUCUAGUUUGUCAUUUUGUACCGUAACUUAUCAUGUAUCUGCGUGGCCCAUACAAUACAGUUAUGAGCAACUGAAGGUUUCAUAUCACCAAGGUUUUACAAAAGUAAAAGGUUUCUGUUUGGUGGGCAUAUUACGUCAAUAUACUUUUAUUGUAGAUUACACAAGGGCCAUGACAUGGCAUGUGCUUGGUGCUCUUUAAGCUGCUUAUCUUGAAGAUAAGCAAAGUUCUGUUUGGUCCAAUGAUGUUUUCUGUUGGUGGGUUACUCAGGCAAGAUUGAUUGUGUUCGGUUCAUAAUCACUUAGUCACCUAGCCCACCUGUCAUUCUCUUUUGGCUAAAUUGCCACAAUUGUGUCCAUCACACUUUGGCCAACCAAGUAACCAUAUGCCAUGACUCUCGAUUCAUGUUCCUUUGUGUGCGGGCGCCGCACGGGGUUGGGGUGGUAGGAUUCCUUGCGGUUUCGGACGAGGCUCGCGUUGGCGGGGAGGGAUGCGCGAAACUGCCUGCCGAGCGUCCUGAUUUCCGAUGGAUGCUUGGGAAUUGUGAAGAUCUUUUUGGUUGUGUUGUGCCGUACCGUGUCCUCAUCGGUGGCUGGUGCGUGUACCCGCCGCCCAUGGCAGAUAGUAGGGGAGCUCUCUGUCCGUCCGCGCCGCCGGCGACGAAGGAGGAAACGACGAGGAGUCAUUUUUUUAGAAUGGGGCAUGGGAGGAUUCGAGCGGAGCAGGAAGAUGGCGAGAUGAUGAGCCUUAAUGGUGAUGGUAUUUGAGGUUGACAGUGGGCCUCUUAAUUGUGUUAGAUGUACAUUAUGGAGGCCCAGUCGGGAAAGCCCACUGAGAGCCACUGCUGUCUGACGGGUGGGCGCACACAGAUGGCCCCUCUAGGAGACGGAGAGGGAGAUGGCGGCGGCGGCGGCAGGUGCGGCGUGGCAUCAUAUUCGCGGUCAGCGAUGGCGAGAGCGCGCCGCGUAGGAGGAUGGUUGGGAGGCUGAGCGACAGGCAGCGUCGUGGCGCAUGGCCGCACCCGCACCACAGGUGAAGCAGCAGCCGCUAGGGAGCUGAGGCAAGCCGCAAUCGUCCCUUAGUUUCUGUAUACUUCUCUUGUCAGCUGUCACCAUAAUUGUCAACAGAAAUUGCCAGUUUUGGUUGCUAAUCCCGCAGGUUAGCACAGUAGGCCGAAAAACGUUGUAUCAGCCGCUUUGGCUCUUCUUCUAAGAAAAUGAUGCAUCUUUCCAUGUUUAUUCUAGAAAGAACAAAAGUAGGAGAUGCUAGCUUUGUAAAAUUAUUCUCAGAUGGUGCGACACUGCGACUGCUCCGUAAAAAUGUGCAACUCAAGCAGAAAUGUUGUGUGUGCGUUAGUUUAGAGGGAAUUGUUUGGCCAUGACCCUAAAAACAGGAACCUAUUUGACCAUCAAUUUGACCUUGCAAUGUUUUUCAAAUUUAUCCAUGAAUUUGAAUUUGAUUGGAUUGGAUUGCAUGACAUAGUAGUUAAAUGGAUGUUUGGUUUGUCUACACAAAGACCGGUAUGUUUGAUUCAAGUGAUUGCCAUAUCAUCCUUACAUUUCCCCUAUCAGUUUACCAUUGUGAUUAUAUUAGUGUAUUUGCCUUGGCAUUAUGGCAAUGUCCCUCAUUGUAUCCAUGAAAUGCUUGUUUUAUUUGCGUGCACUGUAAUAUGUUUUUGGGAGUCUAUUUCUGCUCAGCUACGUUUAAGAUACUGUUCCUUUAUGCAUAGGAUACAAUGCUUAUAAUAUAUAGUUGUUUAGCUGCUAACUCAUCACACUGGUGUGUGGUUUCGCAGAUUCACACGGCAAUCAUUUUGUACAACUACUCUGGUCAUGAGUAAUGUUAAUGUAACAUAUAAUGGAUCUUUCCAUUUUAUGGCUUCUCCAUACGUUUUCAACCCCAGUCUCUCGAAUCCUUGGUGCUUAAUAGAAAAAUCACGGUGCUAGUCAAUGUAGGUUAUGCGGAAUGGCCUCACAUGAAUGAGCCUACCCAGUCUUAUCUUGUGUAACUUAACAGUUGAAGUAGUAAUAAUUGCAGCAGGUUUUUGAUGUUCACCUAGUGUUGCCAUGCAUAAAAGAUUUAAAAAAAACAAGAUAAAUAUUGGUAGGAUGUUGGUGCUCAAAUUUGACCAUGUGAUAUUGUGAUGCGAUUCUAACUUCUGCCUGGUCUGACUCCUGUGUGUACGGUGAGGAGUGCAGAUCUACUGCCUUUUGUAGUUCUGUAUGCUAAUGGGAAACCAUAUAUAAGAUGAAGGCCCUUGUGUUUCGCUGAGGUAUGUGCAUUAAUCUUGACAUUAUUGUCAGUCGAAACUGUGUCCCUUACAUUCUACUCCCUCCGUUCCUAAAUAUUUGUCUUUCUAGAGAUUUCAACAAGUGACUACAUACAGAGCAAAAUGAGUGAGUCCACGCUCUAAAAUAUGUCUAUAUACAUCUGUAUGUGGCAGUCCAUUUGAAAUCUCUAAAAAGACAAAUAUUUAGGAACGGAGGGAGUAGUAUUCUAUACCUGAUACUUACGUUACCAAUUCUUUUGAGCUUUGGUCUGCACAUCCUUUGUAUCAAUAUCGUUGUGUUCCCAAGUUGUGACUCUUACAUAAGUACUUAUGGCAGUUGUCAACCCUUGUUGAUUGUCUCAUUGGUUGUUUGCAUAACUUUCAUGUUCUUACUGAGCUAGAGUUUACAUGCUAGAAUCUGCAUGCAGAAUAGAGAAUACAUCCCUUUGCUCUAUUCUUUUCUGCUAUGUUUCACUUCCAGUAGGUUGUGUGUUAUCUAUUGUUUAUAUAUCACACAUCUUGCAAAUAUAAGUGUAGCAUUUAUUCAUUUCAUAUCCAGCAUCUGCCAGGUAACUUUUACCUGAAUAUUGAGAUAAGUGCCUUGUAUUGUUACUACUAUUUUUCCUUUUUUUUAAGUAUUUUAGUGCAUCAACUUUGUUCCCUAGAUGAUUGAUUUCAAACUUUGUACAGUUAGCAUAAUCCGUUAUUUUGUUUGUCUCACUAUCCCAAAAUGUCAGUGUUAUAGCACGAAAUUGACACUUGUUUGGUUGUGGGCUGGAAAUAAACAGUGGCGCUUCUUUUUGCAGGUUAUUUGUUUGACAUGUAUGACCGAUACUUAGUCAAAUUGGACCUCCAGUUCCUUCCUGGUCCGUCCAAGGUAAACUGAUGGCUCGUGCUAGGCGAUUAAUCUUGUGGGUCUCAGUUUCUUAUAUAUCAAUCUGAAACCAUCAAUUUGCAAAUUAUUCCUUGCUUAUGUUACUCCAUGGGUGAGAAUGGACAACUUGAUUAAUUGUUUCCCAGGCUUUACCUGAUACACUAUGAUGAGCCUAUAUUAGAACUGGAAUUGAUUUUUUAAAGUUAAAUGUUGUAUGAGAUGCUCUAGUUUGUCAUUUUGUACCGUAACUUAUCAUGUAUCUGCGUGGCCCAUACAAUACAGUUAUGAACAACUGAAGGUUUCAUAUCACCAAGGUUUUACAAAAGUAAAAGGUUUCUGUUUGGUGGGCAUAUUACG